rnacentral:rRNA from 1 species
GACGAAGGGGGCUAGCGUUGUUCGGAAUUACUGGGCGUAAAGCGUGCGUAGGUGGUGAGUUAAGUCUGUCGUGAAAGCCCCGGGCUCAACCUGGGAAUGGCGAUGGAUACUGGCUCGCUAGAGUGCGGUAGAGGAGAGUGGAAUUCCCGGUGUAGCAGUGAAAUGCGUAGAGAUCGGGAGGAACAUCAGUUGCGGAGGCGGCUCUCUGGACCAGCACUGACACUGAGGCACGAAAGCGUGGGGAGCAAACAGG